rnacentral:rRNA from 1 species
GACGAACGCUGGCGGCGUGCUUAACACAUGCAAGUCGAACGGAAGGGCCCUGAUUUUGUGGGGUUCUCGAGUGGCGAACGCGUGAGUAACACGCGAGUAACCUGCCCUUGACUGUGGGAUAACUUCACGAAACUGGGGCGAAUAUCCCAUAGAAUCUCUUGCUGCAUGUGGUUGAAUGGAAAAAUUCGGCGGUGCGGGAUGGACUCGCUGCUUAUCAGCUUGUUUGGGGAGUUGUUGCUGACCAGGGCUUUGACGGCUAGCCGGCAUGGGAGGGUGACCGGGCACAUUGGGCCUGAGAUAAGGCCCAGAAUGCUAUGGGCGGCAGCAGUGGGGAAUAUUGCACAAUGGGCGGACGCAUGAGGUAGAAACGCUGCGUGCGGGAUGACGGCUUUCGAGUUGUAAACAGCUUUCGACGGUGAUGAAGAGUGAGUGACGGUAAUGAGUAAAGAAGCAACGGCUAACUACGUG